rnacentral:rRNA from 1 species
GACGAACGCUGGCGGCGUGCUUAACACAUGCAAGUCGAACGGUGAAGCGCCUUCCUUUUUGGUGGGUGUGGAUGAGUGGCGAACGGGUGAGUAACACGUGAGUAACCUGCCCCCUUCUUCUGGAUAACCGCAUGAAAGUGUGGCUAAUACGGGAUAUUCUGGGUCUGUCGCAUGAUGGGUCUGGGAAAGAUAUUGUUUCGGUGGGGGAUGGGCUCGCGGCCUAUCAGCUUGUUGGUGGGGUGAUGGCCUACCAAGGCGGUGACGGGUAGCCGGCCUGGGAGGGUGGACGGUCACACUGGGACUGAGACACGGCCCAGACUCAUACGGGAGGCAGCAGUGGGGAAUAUUGCACAAUGGGGGAAAGCCUGAUGCAGCGACGCCGCGUGAGGGAUGGAGGCCUGCGGGUUGUGAACCUCUUUCGCCAGUGAAGCAGGCCUGCCUCGUUUGUGGGUGGGUUGACGGUAGCUGGAUAAGAAGCGCCGGCUAACUACGUG